rnacentral:misc_RNA from 1 species
GCUCCGUAGGUGAACCUGCGGAGGGAUCAUUACAGAGUUCAUGCCCUCACGGGUAGAUCUCCCACCCUGUGUCAUUAUACUUUGUUGCUUUGGCAGGCCGCCCGCGUGGGCUACCGGCUCCAGCUGGUAAGUGCCUGCCAGAGGACCCCAAACUCUGAAUAUUUUAUUGUCUGAGUACUAUAUAAUAGUUUAAAACUUUCAACAACGGAUCUCUUGGUUCUG